ACUCAAAGGAAUAGACGGGGACCCGCACAAGCGGUGGAUGAUGUGGAUUAAUUCGAUGCAACGCGAAAAACCUUACCUACGCUUGACAUGCCAGGAAUCCUGCUGAGAGGUGGGAGUGCUCGAAAGAGAGCCUGGACACAGGUGCUGCAUGGCUGUCGUCAGCUCGUGUCGUGAGAUGUUGGGUUAAGUCCCGCAACGAGCGCAACCCUUAUCAUUAGUUGCCACCGCAAGGGGCACUCUAAUGAGACUGCCGGUGACAAACCGGAGGAAGGUGGGGAUGACGUCAAGUCCUCAUGGCCCUUAUGCGUAGGGCUUCACACGUCAUACAAUGGUCGGUACAGAGGGCUGCCAACCCGCGAGGGGGAGCCAAUCCCUUAAAACCGAUCGUAGUCCGGAUUGCAGUCUGCAACUCGACUGCAUGAAGUCGGAAUCGCUAGUAAUCGCGGAUCAGCAUGUCGCGGUGAAUACGUUCCCGGGUCUUGUACACACCGCCCGU
rnacentral:rRNA from 1 species